UACGGAGGGUGCGAGCGUUGUUCGGAAUCACUGGGCGUAAAGGGCGUGUAGGCGGUCCGCUAAGUCUGAUGUGAAAGCCCGGGGCUCACCCCCGGAAGGGCAUUGGAAACUGGCGGACUCGAGUCCCGGAGAGGAAGGUGGAAUUCCUGGUGUAGCGGUGAAAUGCGUAGAUAUCAGGAGGAACACCCGUAGCGAAGGCGGCACUCUGGGCCGAUACUGACACUGAGGAGCGAAAGCGUGGGGAGCGAACAGG
rnacentral:rRNA from 1 species